UCAAACUCAUAAUGUGUCUGUCAAUGAAAAAAAAAACAUAAUGUGCCUGUUUCCGUAAGUGACGUAAAUGAAAAAUAUAAACAAGAAUGACGUAAAUGAAAAAUAUUGAUGAAAAAGACGUGGACAAAGAUAAGUCAAUGGUGGUUAGGUUCAUGUCUAUGUAAAAAGAGUGUUGUAGAUGUGUUCGUAGUGGAUAAGUCAAUAGUGGUUAGAUUCAUGUCUAUAUUAACGUAAUUUAGUGAACAAUAGUGGCUGAGAGAAGAAGUAGAUGAUACUGGAGACUGAUAAGUGAAGAUAGAAAAGAAGAUGAAUCCACUUUCAUCGUAUCCACCACCAUCUUCCACUCCUCACAUUUUCUACUUUCGUAUCCACAUCCACAACCACAACAUCCACCAACACGACAUCCACUAUCAGCCCCUCCUAUGUAUUCCCAUCCACCACUACAUCAUCCAUCACCACUACUUCCUCCUCAUCACGUCUGCCACUUCCGUGUCCAUAUCCAACACCAUAGCAUCCACAGUCACGACAUCCACCACCACCUUCUUCUCCUCACGUCUUUUACUUCUGUAUCUACAUCCACCGCCACAGCAUCCACCAUCACGACAUCCACCACCACCCCCACCUCCUCCUCCUCCUCACGUCUUCCACCUUCAUAUCGACAUCCACCACUAUGACUUCCAUCACCACUUCCUCCUCUCGAGUAGUCACUUUCACCACUAUUUUCAUCCUCAUGUUUUUCACCACCGCUUCCGUUGAGAUAUAUCUACGAAAUUAGGAACAGAGAGUCACAAUUGAAAAUGGAUCGGAGUUUUUGGAUUCAUUGUGUGAUUCACCAAUGAUCGAGGAUGAAGAGCUGGAGAGACUAAUCCGACGGAACCGUCUCAGAUUGAGUAAAAGCUAGAGGUGGAGAUAAAGAGCUUGAACAAAGUGAAAUAAUUCGAUUUCUAGAUCGAGAAGAUCUGAUGUCGAUUUGAAGAUUGAAAAGAUGAAGAUGAGUUAGAUUUCACUUUCGUCAAAAAAGAGAUGAAGAGAUAAGAUUUUUUUUUGUUUUUGUGCAUAAAGAAAUAAUGUUAUUAAGAUAUUCUUAUUAAUUGGUUAAAAAAAAAGUUAAUAACU